UACGUAGGGGGCAAGCGUUGUCCGGAUUUAUUGGGCGUAAAGAGCUCGUAGGCGGUUUGGUAAGUCUGGUGUGAAAUCUCCACGCUCAACGUGGAGGGGCCACCCGAUACUGCCAUGACUGGGGUCCGGUAGAGGAGUGUGGAAUUCCCGGUGUAGCGGUGAAAUGCGCAGAUAUCGGGAGGAACACCAAUGGCGAAGGCAGCUCGCUGGGACGGUACUGACGCUGAGACGCGAAAGCGUGGGGAGCAAACAGG
rnacentral:rRNA from 1 species